UACGGGGGAGCAAGCGUUGUUCGGAUUACUGGGCGUAAAGGGCGCGUAGGCGGCCACCGCAAGUCGACUGUGAAAUCUCCGGGCUUAACCCGGAAAGGUCAGCCGAUACUGCGGGGCUAGAGUGCAGAAGGGGCAACUGGAAUUCUCGGUGUAGCGGUGAAAUGCGUAGAUAUCGAGAGGAACACCUGCGGCGAAGGCGGGUUGCUGGGCUGACACUGACGCUGAGGCGCGAAAGCUAGGGGAGCGAACGGG
rnacentral:rRNA from 1 species